rnacentral:rRNA from 1 species
AAGAGAUCGGGAUAACACCUGGAAACAGAUGCUAAUACCGGAUAACAACAGAUGAUGCCUAUCAACUGUUUAAAAGAUGGUUCUGCUAUCACUCUUGGAUGGACCUGCGGUGCAUUAGCUAGUUGGUAGGGUAACGGCCUACCAAGGCGAUGAUGCAUAGCCGAGUUGAGAGACUGAUCGGGCCACAUUGGGACUGAGACACGGGCCCCAAACUCCUACGGGAGGCAGCAGGC